UUGAACAAUCCGACGCUAGUCGGAGCGCGAGGCGCAUGAGUGCUUUACUUUCGUGCUCGACGUGGCGAGCGUAGACCUCUAUAUCCAUUGCAGGAAAUCUCGAUCAUCCAGAUAACUGUAUUCCCAGGGCAGGAAACGCCCUUCAUUCUGUCCGACUCUGAUCCUCAGAAUCGAGCAGUUCCGUAAUGCUCUGUGCGGAAACGGCUGGAGCAUCCCGUAAGACAUAUCUGACUCAGCCACCUGGAUCAGUUCAAUAAAUGGUGCGAUCCCAGGCACUAAUCAUGUCACGCCAACGGUGGACGUAUAUAUCGAUGGGCACUACAUCA
rnacentral:rRNA from 1 species